CACCUGCUGGCAGAGUCUGAGAGCUCCACCAUGGUCAUUCCCAGUUGCUGCUGAUAAGUUUCUUUACCUCUAGGCCAGUGCCCCCGUCUGUGCCCUGGUGGUGACUGUCAUUGAAGUACAUAGGGAACUAUGUAAAAACAAUCUAUCAGAUGACUCACUGUGUUGUUUAGUUUCCCUUGGCAUAGUAUAGAUAGACAGAUUUCAAGGUAUGAGACCACAUGGAAAAUGGAGAGACUUCCCCAGCAAACUGGAAGAAAAUAAGGGUUCUUCACGCUAGGUAAUCCCUCUGCCCUAAAAGCACAGUCUCAAGAGAAGGCAUUUUUUAAUCAGAGUGGGGAUCAGGGGCUUGUGAAUCCCCUAAAAUUAUAAAUAAAAUCCUAAGAGCAUUUUUUUUUUCAUAUUCUC
rnacentral:lncRNA from 1 species